AACAGGUUGCAAGUUGCAACACCGACUAGCCAUAGACCUGCUAGCUGCAAAGGAAAAGAAAGAAAGAGAAAGACCGAGAGGGAGAGAGGAGAAACAGAGAAACAGAGUGAGAGGGAGAGAGGCCAUCCUCCACCACAAGAAACAUGGUCUGAGUUAUUAUCAAUGCCUGCAGCUAUGUAGCCGGAAAAAUUCGGAGUUGCUGCUGCAGCUGUUGUAAAGAUGAGGAGGAGACUAAGAGAGAGCUUUCAGCCCAACCAGAGGGAAAAGUUCCACAAGUAACUGGAUGACAAGGCCGGCCCCAAAUGGCCACGCCAACUCCCCCAUGUAGCAUUCCUGUUCAAGACCAGCCUAAAAAAACCUGAGGAUAAAAGACGGCGUGGGACCCAUCCGUCGCCGGAACAGGAUCCUGCGCUGCCCUUGCUUGAGAAAACUGCAACUUGGGGGAGAUUCCUGCAGCCAGUAUGACCAACAGUCAUGCUAGCUGGAGGAUUCUGGGAAUGGAAAGAAGGAACUUUUCCCCAGCUGGAGUCAAAAAGUAACUUUUUUCCCUCAGCUGGAGAAAAUCAUAACAGUUGCUCAACCCACGAAGGGAAGCCUCCUCUGGCAUCAUCACAGACAAGACAUGAAGACAAGUUCACAAACUCCUUGUUGAAAGGAGAUGGAUGCGUCUGAAUUCCUUUGCCUGCGAUACCAAUAAAAGUCAUCACUGAAAAUGAGA